ensembl:lncRNA
UCAGGAGAUGGACAACUGGAGAAGACACGAUACAGGAAGGUUGGGAGUGAAAACUUUCAGAGCUGGAGCAGAAUUAAGUUGGUUUGCUUCACCCAAAGAUAUUUCCUGACAUGGAUUUGAAGGUAUGAAACUGAAGUAGCCAAAACAAAACAUAAGUUAUUGAUGACUUGUGCCACUUGGAAGCUGGAUUUGACUGUUGAGAAGUUCUUAAUGGAAUUAAAAAUCGACCUGAGAAGGAUGGAGGGGAUUUUGCCCACGAAAUGGUGCUCAGGACUAAUCAUUGGAUGCUGCAAAGGCUUUGGUGUCAAGGAUUCAACCCUACAUUGAAGACAUGAUCAGAUGCAGAAGUGAGGGAGAGGAGGAGGAUUGCUCUGAUCUCGUGGAUUUGCUUUUAACAUGUGCUGCACAGAACCACGUGCUGCAGAGUCUGUUGUGGAUUCCCAACACACCAAGACACCACUGACACGAGCAGACUUUGAGGAGGUG